UGCCGUGCAACGAAACUGUAGGGCUGCAAUU
rnacentral:piRNA from 1 species